UUAUACAUUGGAUUUCCUUACUUUUUUAGCAUACCACAGAUUUCCAAACAAUAAGAUAAUUUGAAAUGGGUUAUUUCAACUUGAAACCUGAAACUAAAGGCUCUAUAGAAACAUUUCUUUGAAUAAAUUGAUGGAACUCUCCUUAUAAAAACUUCUAAUAAAGUUACAAAUAUAGGCACUCAGCCUAUAAACAGUACAACACUAAUCUAACAACUGAACAGACACAGCAGCAAAUUGCAAACUCGAGAAAUUUGGGAAGUGAAAAGCUUGCUGAAAGUCGAAAGCAGAUCAGCAUUGCACCUGCUCUUUGUCAUUCUCUCACUUGGUGUAGAGAACGUCCUCCCACGGGUGGCGAUAUAGUGGUUGUUUCAAUCUCUUCUGGUCGAAGGUGUGCCUGAAAUUAAAAGCUAUUGUUAGUCAUAUGCAAAUAUCUUAAAAGUCUCGUGUUUACUAAUUUGUUUAUUUUAAUUGUACUUUAUAUACGCUGCUGAACUAAAGUAUGUAACUAUGUAUACUCAUUUCCUCAUCCCUAAACCCCACGAUUAUUCCUUAAGCUAUAUUUAAUUAAUUAAACGUGAUUUCUUAAUGGUAGGAACUAGGAAGUGGAGUGAACGGAUCACUGACAUAAAAUAAAAUAAAAAAUCCCUAGGCCACAAUUUUAAAGGGAACUUUUUUGAAGGAUGGAUUAUAUUUAUUUAGACGAAACUUUUCGAAAACUACUGAAUGGAUUAUAUUUGUCGAGACAGAUUUACAGGUUCAUUAACAGAUUAAACCAAUCAAAAAAAAAGUUUUUUUCAUAUAUUUUUUCUGUAUAUAUAAUUAGAAAUGUUCUCUUAUUUCGUUUGAAAAACACAAACUUGAAUUUGUUUUUUAAUUAUUAUUAUUAUUAGGAGUUCAUAUGAAAGCAAUUUAAUCCAUGAAACGUUCACAUCCAUAAAGCCUCACAAUGUGCAAUAAGUUACACAGUUAAGUCUAACCAUAACCAAGAUUGAGACAGCGUGCAACAGAAUAUGUACGUUUCUUUAACGCUGGAGAUCCUUUCGGCCUCGACAACCAGCACACUGCCCAUGUGACCAUCCCCACUUCUUCGUCAAGCACCCAGUUCCCCAGCCCACGUGAUUGUUGAUGGAUUGCUCGAACCCCAUCUCUUUUUGUUUUUUUUUUUCCUUUUUCCCCAUACAAAUAAUAUUCAUAAUGUUGAUGUUGAAAUAAGGCAGACUUGUCUUUAUAAGACAACAGAGCCUUUUUGGUAACAUAUUAUACAUUGGAUUUCCUUACUUUUUUAGCAUACCACAGAUUUCCAAACAAUAAGAUAAUUUGAAAUGGGUUAUUUCAACUUGAAACCUGAAACUAAAGGCUCUAUAGAAACAUUUCUUUGAAUAAAUUGAUGGAACUCUCCUUAUAAAAACUUCUAAUAAAGUUACAAAUAUAGGCACUCAGCCUAUAAACAGUACAACACUAAUCUAACAACUGAACAGACACAGCAGCAAAUUGCAAACUCGAGAAAUUUGGGAAGUGAAAAGCUUGCUGAAAGUCGAAAGCAGAUCAGCAUUGCACCUGCUCUUUGUCAUUCUCUCACUUGGUGUAGAGAACGUCCUCCCACGGGUGGCGAUAUAGUGGUUGUUUCAAUCUCUUCUGGUCGAAGGUGUGCCUGAAAUUAAAAGCUAUUGUUAGUCAUAUGCAAAUAUAGAAUGGAUGUAUUUUCAGUAGAUAAUGGAGGUCUAUCUUACUCAUUCCUAGCCAACUAAUAUUAAACUGUAUAUUAUUCCAAAAAGGUCAUAUCUAUGUGACACUCAAAAGCACUCAUGGGACCUUAAACAGUGGAACUUAAAUCCUUGCAAUUAAAAAGGGAUUAAGAUAUGAAAUCUGACUGUUAACGUGUCAAUAUCAAAGGGCCUGCUUGUAACCUAAUCAGCAACACAAAACAAAACCCAAAUGGAUGGGAUAAGAAAAAUUUGAAGUGCAA
rnacentral:lncRNA from 1 species